GCCGGGUGUAGGGGUGCACACCUGUAGUCCCAGCUACUGAGGAGGCUGAGGCAGGAGAAUCACUUGAACCUGGGAGGCGGAGGUUGCAGUGAGCCGAGAUGGCUCCACUGCACUCCAGCCUGGGCAACAGAGUGAGAUUCUGCCUCAA
rnacentral:SRP_RNA from 1 species